UUUGUCGUUUAUAUAGCAAUUUACUUUAGUUUGUCGUGUAUAUAGCAAUUUACUUGAUUUUGUCGUGUAUAUAGCAAUUUACUUUAGUUUGACGUGUUUCUAGAAAUAAAAAUGGGAAUUUUUUGGUCAUGGCUCAGCACAGGAAACUGUACUUCUACUGACGAGAACAAGAAGAUAUCUAGGAGAAUUGAUAAAGAAAUAUUACAAGAAUUAAAACAAGAAGCAGGUAAUAU